CCUACGGGCGGCUGCAGUAGGGAAUCUUUCACAAUGGGCGAAAGCCUGAUGGAGCAACGCCGCGUGCAGGAUGAAGGCCUUCGGGUUGUAAACUGCUUUUAUAAGCGAGAAAUAUGAUGGUAACUUAUGAAUAAGGAUCGGCCACAUACGUGCCAGCAGCCGCGGUCUUACGUAGAAUCCGAGCAUAAUCCGGGGUGACAGGGUGGAAAGAGUUGCGUAAGUGGGAUAGUAAGUAGAUAGUGAAAUCGGGUGGCUAAACCAUUCAGACUAUUAGCUAAACUGCUAAGCUCGAGACCGUUAGGGGUAACUGGAAUUUCAGGUGUAGGAGUGAAAUCCGUAGAUAUUAGAAGGAACACCGAUAGCGUAGGCAGGUUACUGGGACGGUUCUGACACUAAGGCACGAAAGCGUAGGGAGCAAACGGGAUUAGAUACCCCAGUAGUC
rnacentral:rRNA from 1 species